rnacentral:lncRNA from 1 species
UUUUUUUAUCAUCUCUCUUCUCAUCUUUUUUCUUUUGAAACGCCGUUCCUUCUCUCUUUAUAUCCAGUGCGAUUCAAACUUCACAAACCCUAACCCCUUUAACCAUCGCCACCGCCAAGAUCUUUCUUUUGUGCUAUCAAAGAUCAAACCAAAUCAUCUCAUCAUGAAUCAUUCGAAGCGUCACCAGUGAGACAAAGAUCUCUUCCAUGUGAUGCAUCUGAAUGGAUGGUUAUUCUUCUUGCCAAUCUUAUGCUUUGUUUUUAGGUGGUAUAUACACUGUUGGGAGAUGAUUGGAGCAAAAUAAUAAUAUAGAUUCGAUCAAGGUUACGCUCUUAGUUCAUUGACGAUCGAUCUGAAGUCGACAUAAGCGUCAAUCAUCAUUCUGCUCCCAACUGAGGCAUCAAACGGGCAUUGCGCAUGGAUCUCAGCUUCGUGAUUGGUUGGAUUUAUCUCUUAAUAACUCUGUUCCAUCUUUGCUCUUGAUUCUUUCCAGACAUUGGGCGACUUUCAACCCAUUCGACUUGUUCCUCUUUUAAUAGAUUAUUAUAUUUGUCUGGCUUGAUAUAAAGUGCAACCCAAAUUGACUCGUUCGAGGAGGAAGAAAAAGAUGAAGAGGAGCAAGCUAAGUUGAAGCAAUCAAGUGGAAGCAACAAGGAUGUGGCAUUAGAAGAGAUGAUUAAUGCAACAGCUUCAGAUGUGCAAGAACAGGCUAGAGCAAGAGCGCUAGAUAAACAAGAGCAGUUUGUAAAGUCAGCGAAGCUUUGGCUGUUUUAGCUUUUGCAUCUUCUGUGAGUAGGGAGCGUGAAGAGUUUCUGAGACUCGUCAACAAGGAGAUAAAUUUGUAUCAUAGAAUGAUGGACAAAGAAGGCUCUGACACCGUAAAGGCAUAUAAAGCUGCCCAUGAGGAAACCGAUAAUUCCACAGAUGAACAUGUAGCUGAUGGAGUCUCUUCAACACUCAUAAAAAGGGUAUUAUGAGAGAUGGUUUUUUGUUCGUGUUUGUAUUUUGUUCAUUUUUAAUGUCAAAGUUGCAUGGAUCCGAUUGGUUUGAUGCUGAAAGCCUAUAAAAUUACCCUCUUAACUUAAACAUGUCAAGUUAAAAACAUACGAGUUUGUCGGCUUUACGGUGUGCCAUACACCCUGUUUCUUUGAUUUUUGUUCUGGUUUGUUCUUGGAUUUUGAGCUUUACGUAUCUGAAUUUGAUUUUAUUGUUGGGUUUCUAUAUAAUUAUU